GGUGCUUUAACCGAUGGAAGUUCGAGGCAAUAACGGGUCUGUGAUGCCCUUAUAUGUCCUGGGCCGCACGCGCGCUACACUGAUACUUUCAUCGAGUAUACAACCUUGGUUGAGAGGCCUGGGUAAUCUUUUGAAACCGUAUCGUGCUGGGGAUAGAUUAUUGUAUUUUUAAAUCUUAAACGAGGAAUUCCUAGUAAACGCUGGUCAUCAUCCAGCAUUGAUUACCUCCCUGCCCUUUGUACACACCGCCCGUCGCUUCUACCGAUUGAGUGGCUGCCCCCGCGCCC
rnacentral:rRNA from 1 species